rnacentral:snRNA from 1 species
AUCGCUUCUCGGCCUUUUGGCUAAGAUCAAGUGUUGUAUUUAUGGCCCUUGUGCAUUUAACCACUGAGGAUCUUAGUAAGUUUUUAAAAGUAAAAUAUACUGAAAGUAUCUAUCAUAGCUUAUAUUUGAACUUUUUAUUUUGGCCCUUUUUAGGUGAAAGAACAUUUU